rnacentral:rRNA from 1 species
UGCAAGUCGAACGAUGAAGCUCUCUGCUUGCAGAGAGUGGAUUAGUGGCGAACGGGUGAGUAACACGUGGGUAACCUGCCCAUAAGAGGGGGAUAACAUUCGGAAACGGAUGCUAAUACCGCAUAUGUCUUUGAGACGCCUGUCUCUUAGACGAAAGGUGGCUUCGGCUGCCGCUUAUGGAUGGACCCGCGGCGUAUUAGCUAGUUGGUGAGGUAAUGGCUCACCAAGGCAUUGAUACGUAGCCGACCUGAGAGGGUGAUCGGCCACACUGGGACUGAGACACGGCCCAGACUCCUACGGGAGGCAGCAGUAGGGAAUCUUCCACAAUGGGUGAAAACCUGAUGGAGCAAUACCGCGUGAGUGAAGAAGGUCUUCGGAUCGUAAAGCUCUGUUGUUAGAGAAGAACAAGUCGGGUAGUAACUGCCCCGACCUUGACGGUAUCUAACCAGAAAGUCACGGCUAACUACGUGCCAGCAGCCGCGGUAAUACGUAGGUGACAAGCGUUGUCCGGAUUUAUUGGGCGUAAAGCGAGCGCAGGCGGUCUUUUAAGUCUGAUGUGAAAGCCCACGGCUCAACCGUGGAGGGUCAUUGGAAACUGGAAGACUUGAAUGCAGAAGAGGAAAGUGGAAUUCCAUGUGUAGCGGUGAAAUGCGUAGAUAUAUGGAGGAACACCAGUGGCGAAGGCGACUUUCUGGUCUGUAAUUGACGCUGAGGCUCGAAAGCGUGGGGAGCGAACAGGAUUAGAUACCCUGGUAGUCCACGCCGUAAACGAUGAGUGCUAAGUGUUGGAGGGUUUCCGCCCUUCAGUGCUGGAGCUAACGCAUUAAGCACUCCGCC